rnacentral:tRNA from 1 species
GCCCUGGUGGCAUAGUGGUUAAAGCGAUUGACUGCUAAUCUAAAGGUCAGUGGUUUGAAACCACCUGUGGCU